rnacentral:rRNA from 1 species
GACAGAGGGUGCAAACGUUGUUCGGAUUUACUGGGCGUAAAGCGCGUGUAGGCGGCUUGGCAAGUUGGAUGUGAAAGCCCACGGCUCAACCGUGGAAGCGCAUCCAAAACUGCUUCGCUCGAGUCUCGGAGAGGAAGGUGGAAUGCUUGGGUGUAGAGGUGAAAUUCGUAGAUAUCAAGCAGAACACCUGCGGCGAAGGCGGCCUUCU